rnacentral:rRNA from 1 species
UACGGAGGGGGCGAGCGUUAUUCGGAAUUAUUGGGCGUAAAGGGCGCGUAGGCGGCCCGGUAAGUCAAAGGUGAAAUCCCUCGGCUCAACUGAGGAACUGCCUUUGAAACUGUCGGGCUUGAGGCCGGGAGGGGGUAGCGGAAUUCCCAAUGUAGCGGUGAAAUGCGUAGAUAUUGGGAGGAACACCAGUGGCGAAGGAGGCUACCUGGACCGGUUCUGACGCUGAGGCGCGAAAGCGUGGGUAGCAAACAGG